GCUUCGGGAGCCAAUUAAUGUCUCUUCCGUCUUUUCCUUUUCCGACCCCCUCCCAGAUUCCUUCAUUCCGGUACUGCGUGAACGGAGAGCCCCGGGUAGCCGACACCAAGUCCCCGGCUAGCGAGAGAGCAUAGAAAAGGAUUACACCAAACUGUUUAAAUCCAACGGCUCCUGCUUCCUUUCUCCUGAGCUAGACCCAACAAGCCUAGAGAGUUGGGCUACGGAAAGUAGUAUUUGCAUUUAAUUGGAUAUGAAGAAAGAACAAAUAUGUACGGGGGCAACCACGAUCUUUAUAAAGAACAUAAGUUCCAGGAAAGCAGAAACCUUGUCUCUCUUGUUCACUGGUGUAUCCUCUGCAUAUAGAACAGUGCUUGGCAUAUAAUAGGUUCUGAGAAUGGAUAAUCAUCUGACUUCCCUGAGAAAAUAGAAGCUCUUUUUCUCAGAGGACUCCUCAUCUCUCCCCAGCA
rnacentral:lncRNA from 1 species